UCAACGGAGGAACUGCAGGGUGAACCGCGUGCCUUGAGACAGGUAGGGGCUGUCGGAACGCUAGGUGGANUGGUGAAAUGCGUUGAUAUCUAGCGGAACGCCAAAGGUGAAAUCAGGCAGCUGGGCCUGUUCUGACGCUGAGGUACGAAAGCGUGGGGAGCGAACGGGAUUAGAUACCCCGGUAGUCCACGCUGUAAACGAUGUGCACUAGAUCGAGGGGGUUCUGACACUGCUCUCGGUCGAAGCGAAAGUGUUAAGUGCACCGCCUGGGGAGUACGGUCGCAAGGCUAAAACUCAAAGGAAUUGACGGGGGCUCACACAAGCGGUGGAGCAUGUGGCUUAAUUCGAAGCAACGCGAAGAACCUUAUCCUGGGUUUGACAUGUACGGAUUAACUCCUGGAAACAGGAGCCACGCCCUUCGGGUGGAACGUACACAGGUGCUGCAUGGCUGUCGUCAGCUCGUGCUGUGAAGUGUCGGGUUAAGUCCCUUAACGAGCGCAACCCCUAUCGCUAGUUGCCAGCGCGUCAUGGCGGGGACUCUAGCGAGACUGCCGGUGUCAAACCGGAGGAAGGUGGGGACGACGUCAAGUCCGCAUGGCCUUUAUGCCCAGGGCUGCACACGUGCUACAAUGGCCGGUACAGAACGAUGCAAGACCGCGAGGUGGAGCAAAUCGCUAAAACCGGCCCCAGUUCAGAUUGGAGGCUGCAACUCGCCUCCAUGAAGUCGGAAUCGCUAGUAAUCGGGGAUCAGCUACGCCCCGGUGAUACGUUCCUGAGCCUUGUACACACCGCCCGUCAAGUCAUGGAAGCUGGCAGCACCCGAAGUCGCCGCGAUUCAGCGGUGCCCACGGUGAGGCUGUGACUGGGACUGAGUCGUAACAAGUAACC
rnacentral:rRNA from 1 species